UGGGAGGGCUGGGGGCGGGGCUUGGCAGUUAAAGCCCAUACUGUGGUUGCUGGGUGUGAGAGUAGUUGGGAGUACAGAGUAAGGAUUAAAUACACAGGAUCGGCAUUUAAAAACAAAAAUGCAGAUUUUGGUAAGGUGGCAGUUAUGGUAUAGGUUUUGGAUCUCCCCACAUCACUCCAUAAAAACAGAAUUUGGCUGGGAUAGCAAAACUAAAACUCCUGGAUGAGAUCCAUGCCAGAUCUAGGUGACAAGCCCCACAAACCCUGAGUACGAGCAGGUCGUCUGGUAGACCCAAGAACCCCCAAAUGAUGAUCAGGAAGUUGAAAUCGCAGUGAGCCAAUUCGGGAGCGGCCGCUGGAACUGGGGGUGGUUUGCACACCCCAGUGGGUGAGUGGGAGGGAUUUGUGGUGAGGCCUGCAGGGGCUGGAGCAGUCAAUGUCCCAGGAACUUCUAGGACAAAGUCCCUCGCUGAGGAGAAACUGCUGGGGACAGGAUCCCAAAGGAAGCGGUGCAGGUGCAGGAGACACAAAGGAAAGCAAAGGUCCAGUCAGAGGGAACAGAGCCAGGACUUUGAAGGAAGUGACUGACAGCUGCAUGCACGACUCUGUCCCUGCUGUUGGCAAACUCAAAAUAGAGCUGGGAGAGCAGAGAAUCUUCUGAGAGGGUCUGGCUUGAAUGGAGAGCACAUGGAAAGCACACGGUUUGGUCUGUGCCAGCGAUGCAGGGAAAAUGCCACAUCCCCAGAGGAAUAGAGAAUACAAUCCUAGAAUUCUAAAUGGGACCACAAAGGAAUCUAAAUGGCCAAAGCAAUUGUGAGCAAGAAGCACAAAGAUGGAGGCAUUAUACUUCCUGACUUCAGAGGAUAUUACAAAGCUACAAUAUUCAAUACAGUAUGGUACUGGCAUAAAAAACAGACACCUAGACCAAUGGAACAAAACAGGGAGCCUAGAAAUAAACUCAUACAUAUACAUUCAACUGAUCUUUGACAAAGGUAUCAAGAAUGUAGAAUGGGGAAAGGAUAGUCUUUUCAAUAAAUGGUGUUGGAAAGACCAGAUAUCUACAUAUAAAAGAAUGAAAUUUGACCCUUAUAUACCAUACAUAAAAAUUAACAAAAUGGAUUAAAUACAUAAAAGUAAUAUCUGAAAUGCUAAAGCUCCUGAAAGAAAACAGGGAAGACCUUUUUGACUUUGGUUUUAGCAAUGACUUCUUGGAUAUGACACCAAAAACACAGGUAAAAAAAAUCUAAAAUAAACAAGAAACUGAAAAGCUUCUCCAAAGCAAAGGGAAAACAAUUAACAAAACGAAAAGGUGACCUAUGCAAUGGGGUAAAAGAAACCACAUACCUGAUAAAGGGUUAAUAUCCAAAAUAUAUAAAGAACUCCUAUAACUCAAUGUCAAAAAUAUAAAUAAUCCAAUUAAAAAAUGGGCAAAGAGGGGCGCCUGGAUGACUCAGUCAGUUAAGUGUCUGACUUCCACUCAGGUCAUGAUGUUGCGGUUUGUGGGUUCAGGCCCCGUGUCAGUGUCUGUGCUGACAGCUUGAAGCCUGGAGCCUCCUUCAGAUUCUGUGUCUUCCUCUCUCUCUGACUCUCCUCUGCUUGUGCUCUGUCUCUCAAAAAUGAAUAAAUGUUUUUUAAAAAAAGUCAAAACAAAGUUUAAAAAAAUGGGCAAAGAAACUGAAUAGAUAUUUCUCCAAAGAAGACAUACAAAUGGUGAACAGUUUUAUGAAAAAGUGCUCAACGUCACUAAUCAUCAGGGCAAUGCAAAUCAAAACCACAGUAUCACCUUAUAUCUGUUAAAACAGCUAUUAUAAAAAAGACAAGAGGCAACAAAUGCUGGUGAGGAUGUUGAGAAAAGGGAACAGGUAUGCACUGUUGGUGGGAAUGAAAAUUGGUGCAGCCACUGUGAAAAACAGCAUGGAAGUUCCUAAAAAAAUAAAAUAAAACUACCGUAUAAUCCAGCAAUCUCACUUCUGGAUAUUUAUUCAUUUAUUAUUUAUUAAAUUUUUAAAAAUGUUUUUAUUCAUUUUUGAGAGAGAGAGAUACAGAGCACUAAUGGGGGAGGGGCAGAGAGAGAGAGGGAGACACAGAAUCUGAAGCAGGCUCCAGGCUCUGAGCUGUCAGCACAGAGCCUGACAUGGGGCUCAAACCCACCAACUGUGAGAGCGUGACCUGAGCCAAAGUCAGAUGCUUAACUGACUGAGCCACCCAGGCUCCCCUCACUUCGGGAUAUUUAGCCAGAGGAAUUGAAAUUAGGAUCUUGAAGAGAUAUCUGCACUUGCAUAUUUACUGCAGCAUUAUUCACAAUAGCCAAGAUUUGGAAGCAACCCAAAUGACCAUUAUGGAUGACUGGAUUAACAAAAUAUGGUAUAUACACAAUGGAAUAUUAUUCAGCCAUAAAAAGAAGGAAAUCCUGCCAUUAGCAAUGAUACAGAUGAACAAGGAACAUACUGUACUAAGUAAAACAAGCCAUGCACACAAGUAAAAAUGGUACAUGAUACCACUUAUAUGAGGAAUCUGAAAUAGUCACACUCAGGGGCAGAGAAUAAGUAGUGGUUGUCAGGGGCUCCAGGGAGGUGAAAAUGGUGAAGUAUUAAUUAAAGGGUGCAAAGUUUCUGUUAGACAAGAUGAAUAAAUCCUAGAGAUCUACAAUAUAGCACAGCACCUAUAAUUAACAAUAGUGUAUUGUAUACUUAAAUAUUUGCUAAGAGGAUAGUUUUCAUGUUAAGUGCUGUUUUCACAAAAACAAUAAAAUAAAGAGGGUGGGAGUUAAAAAACAAAAUAAGCCACAAAUUUCAGCUAUUUAAACUGUGAAAGGUUAAAAAACUUCUCGGGUUUGCUUUUUAACAUAGAAAAUUGUGGCUAUGAACACUGAUUAAUAUACAGAGUUGUUGAAUCAUUAUAUUAUGCACCUGAAACUACUAUAACACUGUAUGCUAAUUAUACUUCAAUAAAUAAAGAAAAAAGAGAAAUUAUGUAAUCUUUUUCAGAUUUUUUGUUAUGUUUUCUACCUAGCUGGGCCC